rnacentral:rRNA from 1 species
AGAGUUUGAUCCUGGCUCAGGAUGAACGCUGGCGGCGUGCUUAACACAUGCAAGUCGAACGGGAAACUUUUCAUUGAAGCUUCGGCAGAUUUGGUCUGUUUCUAGUGGCGGACGGGUGAGUAACGCGUGGGUAACCUGCCUUAUACAGGGGGAUAACAACCAGAAAUGGUUGCUAAUACCGCAUAAGCGCACAGGACCGCAUGGUCCGGUGUGAAAAACUCCGGUGGUAUAAGAUGGACCCGCGUUGGAUUAGCUAGUUGGCAGGGUAACGGCCUACCAAGGCGACGAUCCAUAGCCGGCCUGAGAGGGUGAACGGCCACAUUGGGACUGAGACACGGCCCAGACUCCUACGGGAGGCAGCAGUGGGGAAUAUUGCACAAUGGGGGAAACCCUGAUGCAGCGACGCCGCGUGAAGGAAGAAGUAUCUCGGUAUGUAAACUUCUAUCAGCAGGGAAGAUAGUGACGGUACCUGACUAAGAAGCCCCGGCUAACUACGUGCCAGCAGCCGCGGUAAUACGUAGGGGGCAAGCGUUAUCCGGAUUUACUGGGUGUAAAGGGAGCGUAGACGGACUGGCAAGUCUGAUGUGAAAGGCGGGGGCUCAACCCCUGGACUGCAUUGGAAACUGUUAGUCUUGAGUGCCGGAGAGGUAAGCGGAAUUCCUAGUGUAGCGGUGAAAUGCGUAGAUAUUAGGAAGAACUCCGAUUGCGAAGGCAGCCUGCUAAGCUGCAACUGACAUUGAGGCUCGAAAGUGUGGGUAUCAAACAGGAUUAGAUACCCUGGUAGUCCACACGGUAAACGAUGAAUACUCGCUGUUUGCGAUAUACUGCAAGCGGCCAAGCGAAAGCGUUAAGUAUUCCACCUGGGGAGUACGCCGGCAACGGUGAAACUCAAAGGAAUUGACGGGGGCCCGCACAAGCGGAGGAACAUGUGGUUUAAUUCGAUGAUACGCGAGGAACCUUACCCGGGCUUAAAUUGCAGAUGAAUUACGGUGAAAGCCGUAAGCCGCAAGGCAUCUGUGAAGGUGCUGCAUGGUUGUCGUCAGCUCGUGCCGUGAGGUGUCGGCUUAAGUGCCAUAACGAGCGCAACCCUUGUUGUCAGUUACUAACAGGUUCCGCUGAGGACUCUGACAAGACUGCCAUCGUAAGAUGUGAGGAAGGUGGGGAUGACGUCAAAUCAGCACGGCCCUUACGUCCGGGGCUACACACGUGUUACAAUGGGGGGUACAGAGGGCCGCUACCACGCGAGUGGAUGCCAAUCCCAAAAACCUCUCUCAGUUCGGACUGGAGUCUGCAACCCGACUCCACGAAGCUGGAUUCGCUAGUAAUCGCGCAUCAGCCACGGCGCGGUGAAUACGUUCCCGGGCCUUGUACUCACCGCCCGUCA